CCUAAAUACUAAUACCAGAUCGAUAGUGCACAAGUACCGUGAGGGAAAGGUGAAAAGAACUGAGGUGAUCAGAGUGAAAUAGAACCUGAAACCAUUUGCUUACAAUCAUUCAGAGCCCUAUGUAGCAAUACAGGGUGAUGGACUGCCUUUUGCAUAAUGAGCCUGCGAGUUGUGGUGUCUGGCAAGGUUAAGCAAACGCGAAGCCGUAGCGAAAGCGAGUCUGAAUAGGGCGCUUAGUCAGAUGCUGCAGACCCGAAACGAAGUGAUCUAUCCAUGAGCAAGUUGAAGCUAGUGUAAGAACUAGUGGAGGACUGAACCCAUAGGCGUUGAAAAGCCCCGGGAUGACUUGUGGAUAGGGGUGAAAGGCCAAUCAAACUUCGUGAUAGCUGGUUCUCUCCGAAAUAUAUUUAGGUAUAGCGUUGUGUCGUAAUAUAAGGGGGUAGAGCACUGAAUGGGCUAGGGCAUACACCAAUGUACCAAACCCUAUCAAACUCCGAAUACCUUAUAUGUAAUCACAGCAGUCAGGCGGCGAGUGAUAAAAUCCGUCGUCAAGAGGGAAACAACCCAGACUACCAGCUAAGGUCCCUAAAUCUUACUUAAGUGGAAAACGAUGUGAAGUUACUUAAACAACCAGGAGGUUGGCUUAGAAGCAGCCAUCCUUUAAAGAAAGCGUAAUAGCUCACUGGUCUAGUGAUUUUGCGCGGAAAAUAUAACGGGGCUAAAGUAAGUACCGAAGCUGUAGACUUAGUUUACUAAGUGGUAGGAGAGCGUUCUAUUUGCGUCGAAGGUAUACCGGUAAGGAGUGCUGGAGCGAAUAGAAGUGAGCAUGCAGGCAUGAGUAGCGAUAAUUAAUGUGAGAAUCAUUAACGCCGUAAACCCAAGGUUUCCUACGCGAUGCUCGUCAUCGUAGGGUUAGUCGGGUCCUAAGUCGAGUCCGAAAGGGGUAGACGAUGGCAAAUUGGUUAAUAUUCCAAUACCAACAUUAGUGUGCGAUGGAAGGACGCUUAGGGCUAAGGGGGCUAGCGGAUGGAAGUGCUAGU
rnacentral:rRNA from 1 species